rnacentral:rRNA from 1 species
CCCUUAGAUGUUCUGGGCCGCACGCGCGCUACACUGAUGCAUUCAACGAGCCUAUCCUUGACCGACAGGUCCGGGUAAUCUUUGAAUCUGCAUCGUGACGGGGAUAGAUUAUUGCAAUUAUUAAUCUUCAACGAGGAAUACCUAGUAAGUGCGAGUCAUCAGCUUGCGCUGACUACGUCCCUGCCCCUUGUACACACCGCCCGUCGCUGCCCGGAACUGAGCCGUUUCGAGAAAGCUGGGGACUGACGGCUUGUGGGUGCGCAAGCACUUCUUGCCGACGGAAACCAGUUUAAUCGGUAUGGCUUGAACCGGGCAAAAGUCGUAACA